rnacentral:lncRNA from 1 species
CUUAUGAUGGUCCACAAAACUAGUCAAAUAACACAAGCUUCUAAUUGGGGUUUCAUGUGGGACAAAUCCAAGUUGAAACCCUCCAAAACUUUUGUACUAUUUUAACAUCUCUGUUAUUUUUUUUACUUCUUUUUUUGGUUAAAAUUGAGACUUUUGGCAUAUAAUAAGAAAACUUUCAGCAGAGUAUCUCAACUUAAAUUAAAUAAAAAU